rnacentral:tRNA from 1 species
GGUGGCUCAGCAGUAGAGCGCCUGCCUGGCAUGCAGGAGGCCCUGGGUUCAAUUCCUCAGCACCA